UACCAUGAUCCAUUUCGACAUAUUUAUCUUUAUAAUAGCCAGAUCAGAUAACUGAUCAUGAAUACAAUUUACCAGUCUACGUCCUGUUACCAUGACGGUUGGAAGUAUAUUGGCUGCUUUCCUCUCUCUGUUCGUUGUUGGAACGGCAGCGGAAACAUGCUACGGCGCAACUGAGAACAUCUACUGCAUGUUCGGAUGCUGCAGUGACACAUUAUUUGUGUACUGUUGUGUCAGUAAUGGAGCUGGAGCCGGCAUCAUCGUGGGCAUCCUCAUCUUCAUUCUCAGCAUAGUCGGCUUCUUCCUACGACGUUACAUCUACAGACGGAGAAUCCCAGUAGGGGUUGUGCAGUAACAUCGCCAGGUCAAUCAAAACUAGGCUAAGGACAAGCCCCGCCACCAUAUUCUUCCGUAUGCAAGACUUACUAUUCAGCACCCGACCUGAUGCAUAUAAUAAACUCACAUGAUGUAGACUGUGAAAUGAUCGCGCGACAUAAGUUGAGACUUUUCAAGAAAUUGACACAGUGUGUCAGCUAUGGAUGAUAACAACAAAUAAGAUAUUAAAUUAUGUCGGAAAUAAAAACAAAAGGUUGAAACUUCA